rnacentral:rRNA from 1 species
CACGUAGGGCGCAAGCGUUGUCCGGAAUUAUUGGGCGUAAAGAGCUCGUAGGCGGUCUGUUGCGUCCGCUGUGAAAACUCGGGGCUUAACCCCGAGCCUGCAGUGGAUACGGGCAGACUAGAGGUAGGUAGGGGAGAAUGGAAUUCCCGGUGUAGCGGUGAAAUGCGCAGAUAUCAGGAGGAACACCGGUGGCGAAGGCGGGUCUCUGGGCCGAUACUGACGCUGAGAAGCGAAAGCAUGGGGAGCGAACAGG